UUUUCGCUUCUUUUUGUUCGUUGCCUAGCCAUUGAGUUGGUUCUGAACUGCCUAGCCGCCUCCCUUAAUGUGGCCGCAUCCUUCAUUUGAAAUUAGGGUUUCAGAUUCAUGCCUCAAUCUUCUUUUGUUAUGAUGGGUUUGGGCUCUUUUCAAAAUUUUGUUUUUAAGUUAAGUUGGGCCCAAACACAAAAAAACAAAGAUCUUGUUCAAACUCAGUCCAUUUAAAUCCAUUCUUUUUAUUUU
rnacentral:lncRNA from 1 species